ensembl:misc_RNA 7SK 7SK RNA
GGAUGUGAGGGGGUAAUCUGGUUGUGACAUCUGUCACCCCAUUGAUUGAUACGGUUAAUUUGGCUGAUCUGGAUGGCUAGGUGGGUGUCUCCUUCAUCCCUCACCACUCCAUGUAUGUCCCUCCCAAAGCUGUGUGCUGGGUCAAAGAGGACACCCUUCCUUGAACAGAGAUGAGCCAGUCUACAGAGGAGUGUGCUCAUAGCUUGCUCCCCUGCUAGAACCUCCAAACAAGCUCUCUCCUCUUACAAUUUGAUUCUUUUAAAAUAUAAACAUCUAGUUUAGAAAUGUAAAUAAUAGUUUUAUAUUCCUG